CGAACGCUGGCGGCGUGCUUAACACAUGCAAGUCGAACGAAGAGCGAUGGGAGCUUGCUUCUAUCAAUCUUAGUGGCGAACGGGUGAGUAACGCGUAAUCAACCUGCCCUUCAGAGGGGGACAACAGUUGGAAACGACUGCUAAUACCGCAUACGAUCUAAUCUCGGCAUCGAGGAUAGAUGAAAGGUGGCCUCUACAUGUAAGCUAUCACUGAAGGAGGGGAUUGCGUCUGAUUAGCUAGUUGGAGGGGUAACGGCCCACCAAGGCGAUGAUCAGUAGCCGGUCUGAGAGGAUGAACGGCCACAUUGGGACUGAGACACGGCCCAGACUCCUACGGGAGGCAGCAGUGGGGAAUCUUCCGCAAUGGACGAAAGUCUGACGGAGCAACGCCGCGUGAGUGAUGACGGCCUUCGGGUUGUAAAGCUCUGUUAAUCGGGACGAAAGGCCUUCUUGCGAACAGUUAGAAGGAUUGACGGUACCGGAAUAGAAAGCCACGGCUAACUACGUG
rnacentral:rRNA from 1 species